GCCUUCGUGUUGUAGUGGUCAGCACGCUCUGCGUGUAUUCUAGAAGUCCGUGGUUCGAGUCCCGGCGAAGGCG
rnacentral:tRNA from 1 species